rnacentral:misc_RNA from 1 species
CGCACAUUGCGCCUGCUGGUAUUCCGGUAGGCAUGCCUGUUUGAGCGUCAGCAAAACCUCUCAACAAUUUUUUAUUGUUGGUUAUGGGUGCGGAGGACUAGCCUAACGGCUGCUCCCGCCUUAAACUUGCUGCACGACCACAAGCUAUUGCUAGGUUAAUGGAGUGGUGUUUACAUUAUAUUCCAGCGAUUAGCAUAACUUGGUGGCGUUAAAUUUACGUUGCACUUGCAAUUGAAGUUUGACCUCAAAUCAGACAAGGAUACCCACUGAACUUAA